UGCCCGGCAACUCCUAUCCCUACUUCCACGCAGUGCCAGCUGGGGUACGACAUCUGAUCCGCGGGAAUGGGGUCGCUGCUAGGCUCGGCUCCCGUGGGUUUACGUGUCGUACGCUAACAGGGAAGG
rfam:Anopheles atroparvus strain EBRO unplaced genomic scaffold supercont1.14, whole genome shotgun sequence.